rnacentral:rRNA from 1 species
GAUGAACGCUAGCUACAGGCUUAACACAUGCAAGUCGAGGGACCGGCGCACGGGUGAGUAACACGUAUCCAACCUGCCCUUUACUCGGGGAUAGCCUUUCGAAAGAAAGAUUAAUACCCGAUAUAAAGGAUGGGGAUGCGUUCCAUUAGGUUGUUGGUGAGGUAACGGCUCACCAAGCCUUCGAUGGAUAGGGGUUCGGAGCGGAAAGUCCCCGACAUGGGAACUGAGACAACGGCCGAACUACUACGGGAGGAAGCAGGGAGGGAUAGUGGUCAAUGGGCGCUAGCCUGAACCAGCCAAGUGGCGUGAAGGAUGAAGGCUUAUGGGUCGUAAACUUCUUUUAUAGAAGAAUAUGGAUUAUAUGAAUAAGGAUCGGCUAACUCCGUGCCAGCAGCCGCGGUAAUAC